UACGUAGGGCGCAAGCGUUGUCCGGAAUUAUUGGGCGUAAAGAGCUCGUAGGCGGUCUGUCACGUCGGAAGUGAAAACCCGGGGCUUAACCCCGGGCUUGCUUUCGAUACGGGCAGACUAGAGUGUGGUAGGGGAGACUGGAAUUCCUGGUGUAGCGGUGAAAUGCGCAGAUAUCAGGAGGAACACCGGUGGCGAAGGCGGGUCUCUGGGCCACUACUGACGCUGAGAAGCGAAAGCAUGGGGAGCGAACAGG
rnacentral:rRNA from 1 species